UACGGUAGAGUGCAAGCGUUGUCCGGGAAUUAUUGGGCGUAAAGGGUACGCAGGCGGAUAGUAAAGUCAAGCGUGAAAGGGUGUCGGCCUUAACCGACAGACUGCGUUUGAAACUGAUUAUCUUGAGUGUAACAGAGGAGAGUGGAAUUCCUAGUGUAGUGGUGAAAUACGUAGAUAUUAGGAAGAACACCAGUGGCGAAGGCGACUCUCUGGGUUAACACUGACGCUGAGGUACGAAAGCUGGGGGAGCGAACGGGAUUAGAACCCCCGUAGU
rnacentral:rRNA from 1 species